rnacentral:rRNA from 1 species
AGUGAACGCUGGCGGUAGACCUAACACAUGCAAGUCGAACGGCAGCACAGUAAGAGCUUGCUCUUACGGGUGGCGAGUGGCGGACGGGUGAGGAAUACAUCGGAAUCUACUUUUUCGUGGGGGAUAACGUAGGGAAACUUACGCUAAUACCGCAUACGACCUACGGGUGAAAGCAGGGGAUCUUCGGACCUUGCGCGAUUGAAUGAGCCGAUGUCGGAUUAGCUAGUUGGCGGGGUAAAGGCCCACCAAGGCGACGAUCCGUAGCUGGUCUGAGAGGAUGAUCAGCCACACUGGAACUGAGACACGGUCCAGACUCCUACGGGAGGCAGCAGUGGGGAAUAGUGGACAAUGGGCGCAAGCCUGAUCCAGCCAUACCGCGUGGGUGAAGAAGGCCUUCGGGUUGUAAAGCCCUUUUGUUGGGAAAGAAAAGCAGCAGGUUAAUACCCCGCUGUUCUGACGGUACCCAAAGAAUAAGCACCGGCUAACUUCG